UUGCUUGAACUGGGGGUUGGACUAGAAGACUUCCCUUGAAGUUCUAUCAUUCUGUUAUAUCUGGAGGUUUUCUUAUUGGCUAGGUCUCAUGCUGCUACACCACCUGGACAAUUUCUGACUGGCUAGGUCUCAUGAUGUGCCAUCUAGUGUAUAAUACUUGAAUGUUGAUUUGGGGGAGAAUUCUGAUUCUUAGAUGUCUGCAAAGAUUACAAAGUUCAAAACAUCAUUCUACUCAACAUAUUUCUUGCCAAGUGGAUAUUUGGCUACUCUGAUACUCCUCCAGUACUAUUGUUGAAACUGCCUAUGCAUUGAUACUAAUUGAUUUUGAACACAACAAUUUUCUAGCUUUGUGCUACCCUUUUUAAGGGGUAAUAAUCAGAAAUGUACAUGACAUACCAAGUGUGUUUUCUUCAUAGAUAUAUCCAAAAGUAUUAUUAUACUGGCAGUUAUAUUUUCAAUUCUUUUCCUAACAAAUCCCAUAUAUGCAGUUCACCUGGGCUGACAUUUUCAUUGAGUUGUUAAUCAAUAUCCCUUUUCUGGUUAAAAAAAGUUGGGAAUAUUUGCCUUAAAAUUUUUCCCCUACAUUGAACACUUACUGACAUCUCUCAGAAAAGAUUCAAAGGCAUCUGGAUUUUAUGUUACUCACAGACCAGAUUUAUUUAUAUAAAGCACUGAUAUGGAUGGGUAACUCUGGGAGAUGUACAAAAAACAUCAAACACGAAACACAAAAGAAAACAACACACAACAUCAAAAACUGAAACAAUUACAUGUAGAUUGGAACUGAAAUAUACUAUAGACAGUCCUUGUCAAGGUUAUGAUAGACCCC